rnacentral:lncRNA from 1 species
AGGAAUAAGUCAAGCCUCAGGCCUAAAAUUUAUUUAUUUUUAACUGGAAUUUGUGUUAGACUUAUUUAAAUUUUGAUAUUUUCUAUGCCUAAAUCCGGCCAAUAAUCAACUCUAUUCCCAAAUAAAGUAAACAACAUGGAACACAGAACCUACAAAUGCAGAAUCCCAAAUCCGGCCAAUAAUCAACUCUAUUCCCAAAUAAAGUAAACAACAUGGAACAC